CAAGACAGGCGAAUGCUACGCAGUCUUCUGGCUCCAUUGCAGACAAUAAAUUACGUACUGCAUUUUGCAACUGUGUGGUGUCCUCAGCAAAGUACGUUCGUUACAACGGACGUAUUUUGUGCGAUCGUGUAGGCGCUGGCUAAAGAGCUUGAAAUGACUAUUAAACUUGAGGUUAUGUCAGGUGUAGAGAUCAGAUCAAAGGUGGACAAAUCUCAAAAUACAGUUGGUGUAUGUCUAAACGUAAAGAGCGUGAAAGUGAAGGAUAUGGAAGUAUUGGAGGGAACAAUAAAGUAAAACGUGUACAUACACAAUACCUACUAGCAACAGGUUUGAUGUUUUGUCUACUUUGCCCGACUGCCAAUUACAUGACGAAGAUGUUGCUUUUGUGAUGUAGAACAGCAAUUCGAUCAAGAGAAAUCUGAAGUCUCGUCGUGAUACAGGAAGGUUUCAGACCAGACAUUGCAAUAAACAUAAUAAUGGGGAUCCAGGAAAAUUGAUAAAUUAACAUGGACAAGAAGUAGUAUGUAUGUAGAGUUCUUGUGUUAUGUAAUGCCUGCUUUGUGUACGGUGAAUUAAGUAUUAUAUUUUUAAAGUUAUAGUUAAUAUGCUAAUGAUUUAAAUGGCAGUGUGCAUCAUACUACUGGAGCAACGACCAACGACGGAUUGUGACAGAUGGUGGAUUGUUCGGUUUGUGGAGAAGUUGAACACUAAAUAUCAGUGAUAGAAGAUGGGUUGAAGCAGUGAAAUUUCUGUGAGUAUGUGGACAUAGCUUUUGUGAUCAUGACUAUGCACGUGGCUGGGAAGUUCAAUUUAGAGGGAGGAAUUCAAGAAUACAAACAUCAAUGGUGUGAACAUUUUCUAUGAGUGAAACACAAUAAGAUAACCUGAAGAAUUAUGCAGUGUAAGCCUGCAAGGAUGUAGAGACACCAGGAGGAUGGCCAGAGCGGACUAACAAGAGAGGCUACUGAGAAUGGUCACUGAAAUUGCAAUGGCUCAACAUACUCACGUCUUCUGAAGAAUGAACUGCUUGGUGCUGGCACUGAAGAUGGCAGAGUCCAGCAUGAUGAGAGAGAGGCAUUGGUCCCACUGAAUGAAAGAAAUCUGUUUCAGUACAUGUUGGCAUAAAGCAGUGGAAAUGGCUCUGGUGAUGAGACAUCUGCUUCGUAUUCUUUAUCAGCCAUUAGUUCCAAAAGCUUGAGAUUACUGAGAUCUGCAAGGAAAAUAACACAAAAAAUAUCUUCACUACCCUUCAAGGUGUUGUAUGCCCCUAUGUUAGCGGAAUGAUUUGUACGUUAAUCUUAUGGACUGGUAAUCACAAAAUAUAUUGGGUGUGGGCUUAGGAAGCCGUGCAUAUAUUUGGUCUUCCCACACUGAGCAAGUCGCAGUGUUGUGUAAGUUAUCUGAAAGUGGCCACUCUGUAACAUCAGUUGCAUGGAAUGAGCAAGUGAGUCAUAAUUCCAUCUCAUUAUUUUUAUGUAGGACAGUUAACUGUCUCUCUCUUAAAUUUGAAUGUGAUUGUUGCUUAUGUUGUUAAUUUGGUACAGGCCGCUGCAGCCGGUCUUGAGUAAUGCCACGCUGUGCUUUAUAUAUGUAUUUAUCUGAUACUUUUCACUUUUGUUGCCUCCAUUGGAAACUCCUGCCCCCUUCCCAGAUAUUAAAGAGACAGAAGUAAGAAGUUAUUUUUGCGCUAACGAAGCUUGAUGCUUAUCACUAUUCAUGCUGUGGUCUCCCAUCUGCUUCCACUUCCCCUCCCACUGAACUCAUGGAUGAAUCUGAUUCAGCAAAUUGCUCUUCACCUUUGUUUGUAUGUGUGUGUGUGUAUAAGCAAAUCCAGAUUAAGUGGGGGAAAGGUCACCCUGAUUAACUGAUAAUCUAGAGCAGCGAUGGCCAACUGGCGGCCCGCGUUCAAAUCUGAGU